UAUUAAAAAAUAAUUAAUUUACAUAAAUGUCAAUUCGCGAUUAGACAACGUAAAUUUUGCUAUUCAAAUAAGUGUAAAAAGUAGCAUUACAAAUUAAAUUGAAUUUUUUGCACAUCUCAAUAAAAGUCAAACAAAAUUCUCGUGCAAAAGUUCAUUAAAAUCCACUUACUCAUUUAAAAGUUACCUACAAUAAAACUGCAGUAAAAAUGUGAUAAAUUUCGCACACAAGCCAAAUUAUUCGUUGUUUUGUUCUUUGUAGUUUUUUCAGGGGCAGAAUUAAACAUUUACGAUCAAAACUUCUUUGUCAUCGAUUAGGAAAGCAAAUCUAAAUUUAUAGUUUAAAAUUUCGACAACUUUUAACUGAUAUUGUAUACUCAAAGUGUCUUUAUAUUCGUUCUGUAGCGCUGGCAAGUGAUUUUUUGGUUCGCGCGCAAAUUCAAGGGGGGAAGCCAUCGGUCACGUUUUCCGCGCACACGACUCGCGAGAGUGACCAACUUCACGGCGAACAAUUCGUGGUGUGCGUCAAGGUGGGCGAUCGUUUCGCGCUCCGUGCUCAUUUAAUGAAAUCGUGGCGACGCGUAUUGGAAGCCGGCGUUUGCCGCGGGGAAACGAAAUCACUCGGCACAUCCACCUCGUCACGUGUUAGAGACAUUACGAGGGAAAACGGUAUCGUUGCCCGCGGUCUUGGUGUUUGUUUAUGCAGCGCACGACGUCUAAGCAAGGUUACUGCCAUUUACUCGUACUACGACAUUCGGACCAAUGGUUGGCGACGUGGACCGUGGUAUUUCGGCAUUACUCCCUCAAGUCAGAUUGCAACAAGUAAUAACGAAAUAUCUGACGCGUACAUUCUCUACAGUUACAUACGUAAUUAGCAGCAUGCGCGAGUAAUCAAUUCUCGUGACUGAUCUCUCUCUCUCACUCUCUCUCUCUCUCUCUCUCUCUCUCUCUCUCUCUCUCUCUCUCUCUCUCUCUCUCUCUCUCUCUCUCUCUCUUCCUCUCUCUUUCACUUUCACUCCUCGUAAAUACGAGUGUGGUCGUGUGACAAUCGUACUUUUCUUCGCGUUAUUCUUCUGUCACAAAUAACGUGUGAUUAUUGUCGGGAGUAUUGCGAAGUGCCGCGAUAUCGUAAUUAACUUUGCUUUUGCGAGUGCGUGUAAUAUGUGUGCGACAAAGAUCCGAGAUGAGAGGAAGGAGGAGGAGGAGGAGGAAGAAGAGGAAGAAAAGCAGACAUCAGGCGAAGCCAUAAGAUUACAUCUUGUGCAUAUCGUACUGGUGAGUAUUAAAUUAUAUUUAUUUUAAUUUUACAGCAGUGGAUUUAUUUAAAUUAUUAAUCACAUAAAUGAAUAAUAAUAAUAAUGUGUGAAGUAGAUCGAAAAAGAAUUAAAGAAUUAAAGAUAUUCUAUUAAUUGUUGAUAAUUCCUUUAUAAUUAUACAUAUAGAUUUUAUAAUAUAUAUUUAUAGAAGCAAACUUCUACUUAUUCUUAUAAACAAAAUCCCUGAGUUUAUUAUAUGUAUGAUAGCUAAUUUUUAUUAAUAAGCACUAAAUUGAUAAUCAAGUAUUUAUUAGCUUUUCACUCGUGAAGUUUAAUGUUCGCUCGAAAUUUAAUGUUUUUAAUAUUACAAAAUUACGAGUGAAAAUUAUUACGAAAUAUGCGAGAUUUGGAAUUAUCGAUGGUUAUUACAAAAGCAGAAUCCGCAAAACGAAAUAUUUUAUCUCGUUUCCAAUUUGUAUUUGUUUGAUAUUGAACAUAUUUCGCGAAUUUGUCAUAAAUAUAUUUUAUUGAAAAAAUUUCUAAUUUACAUUCCGCGAUAAAUAAUUAAUAAUAUUAGAAAAAAUUGCAAACACUUUUCUUCACUUUCUCAAAUGCGAUUGUUCCCUUAGCUACUUUUUGUCGGAUAAAUGUUAAGAAAUACAUUUGUAUUCCGACGAGAACUCAUGAUCUUUACUAUGGAAUAUCUUUUUUUUUGUUAUUUUAAUGUGGAAAAUGUACAUGGAAAAUUGAGGACCUCGGUGCAGAGCUAAAAUUAAACUCGAGUUUUAUUAAAUUAUAAUCCUCAGAAACAAUAAUUGGUAAAAAUUGAUAAGGAUUUAUUAAAUAUUAACGUAUUAUUAAAUACAUUCUUUUGUAGUCGCUUUUCGCAAAAAAUUAUUCUAUUCAUAUUUUGAUAUUUAUUUUUGCAAUAAUAGAAAUACAUAGUUGUUAAUAACGGAAGAAUUUUUUCGCGUGAAUAUAUUGAUUCCAGUACAAUAAAUAACAAUAAUACAGAAAAAUUGUAUAAUGUUUGCAUUAUAAUGGUUUGAAAAACCGUGACUGUCAUUAAUCUACUAAAAUGACCACUAUUAGGAACAACCUGGGAAACUUGCAGGAUUCGUUCCUUCCUGCAAUGGAGUCCUUAAUGUUCAACUGGCUGCUUAACUUUUCUCCGCAAUUUAAUCUUAUGAGGCCCGUCAGAAGCAGGGCACAUUCAAUUCGCUCUCCACCUUAAGAAUACUUUUUCUUUAGGUUGACAAAGUAUGAGUAGGCUGUUCAAUAGAGCAACCUCGCGAAUUGAUCACAUUAUUAAGCUAAUUAUUUUCAUUGCGCUGUUAUUUUUUACCGAUUGUUAAAAUUCAUACAAGGCAUUUUUAUUUUAUAAAGUAAAAAAUAUUGAACUCUGAUCAAUUAUUUGAUUCAGUCAAUAUAAUAUUGAAGUCGUGUAGAAACGCGAUUACGGAAAGCGCUCAAUACAUGGAGCAAUAAUUAUGGAAAAUUCCUAUUGCACUGCAGAAGUACAUUACAGAGAUUACUCGCAUUGCAAUCGGACAUCGAGAGUAUCGAUCAAUUUAUUCAUCACAUUUGCAAUACAAAUUUUUAAACCAUGAUUUAUCUUCUAUCAUAUUUGAUCAUUGAUUUAUAUUGAAGCUUACUUUCGUAUUCAAUAUUUACUUCGAAAGUAUUACAAAAUAUAUUUAAACUUAAUAUUUUCCUUUAUGAUUGAAAGACAUAAAUUUAUUUAAUUAAUCCCAUUGUUUGCGUUAAAAAACUUAAUAAGUUCUGUUACUAAAAGUACAUUGAUAAUUAAUGUCACAUAAUAUCCCAUUAAUAUAUCAAACAAUUAACAAUUAAUAACAAUUAUAUGUUUGAUAUAAAACUGCGUAUUUUAUGUUAUUGGAAGUACGUUUUUCUUUUUUUAAUAUAUUUGCGUUAAUAAAAUGUUACAAAAAUACAUGAAUGCAUGUAAUUUAAUCGUACACGAUAUUUUAUAUUUUUGCAUUACACAAUAAAUUGUAUCCUCUUAAAAUAAAUUGUAUUAAUUUUUAUUAAAAUAAAAAUUAAUACAAAAAGUAAAAAAAAUAAAAAACCAUCAAAGAAAAAACAGAGAGCUGCCUAUUAAAAUCAGUAGAGAUGAUAGAAGACACUCUUGAUCCAUUUUUACUGGAUAUUUUAACUCACAUCUAAAACUGAAACUAAAAUUGACACUAAUCAAGACAUAAAAUUAAUUAAAAUUAAAAUUGAAAUUGUUUUAGAAAACUAUUAUUUAGAGUCUUAGUACAAAUAUAAAAAUAAGGUUACAUUUUUCUGGCGGCAUAAUUAAGAAUGUAAUAAAACAAUUAACAUCGGAAAUGUCAAAGAUCUAUUCCGUUAUCUUGUAAUAAAGUGUACGCAAGACCAAAAUUAAUCAGUAAUUAUUUUAUUUUUUUAAUUUACUUAAAAAAUAUUUGCAGACGUUCUUAAUUUCUUAAAACUAUAUAUUUCUCUCGGGACUCUAAGAUAAUACAUAAAGUUAUAUGAAACUAAUUUACAUAACUACUUUCUCAAAUGAGCUAAAUAUCAGAUUUCAUUUUUUUAGCAAAUAUUACAUUUAAUAUGCGUUAUUAUUCUGUAUUAAAAUUAACUUAAAAAAUGUAUGAUUUGCCGUGAAUUUAUUUUAUUAAAACAUCUUGUGGCAAUUAAUCAAUACAAUAUCUCGUUUCUGCAGCGUACUAUCAUUUAUUAACUUCUUUGUGAAAUUUUUUAUUAAUAAUUCUUUCUUCCUAUAUAAUAUUUUACUUAUAAUAUAUCUUGAAAUAUAUCUAUGCAAAUAAUAUGCAUGAGCAUUUGACGUGAAUAUAUUUUAUAAAGCAUUAAAUCAUGGCAACGAUCGGUAUAAUAUCUUAUUUCUACAGCAUAUAGUUUAUAAUUUUUUUGAAAAAUUCUUUAUUAACAAUAUUUUUUCUUCUAUAUAAAUAUCUUGUCCAUAAAUUUUAUAUAUACAAUUCUGUGCAAUUUUCAUUUCUAUGCAAAUAAUGUAUCAAGAAAAAUUUUCUAACAGAGUAGUUUAUGACUCUGAAAACCGUCGUGACUUCAAUUUUUAUAAUUAUUUUUAUGAACUUUUUUGUAGUCCAACUGUAAUCUCCCAAAUAUCAAAAUACUGUUAAAAUAUUAUGAUUACGUGUACUAUAUAUUAUGCAGAUGUAUUUAAACCAUUAAACAUUUUAUGACAAUAACUAAAUAUUAAUAUAGGAGGAAGGAUCUCUCUCUGUUGCCUAAGUUAACAAUGGAAUUGCGAAAAUUACCCCAUUAUUAUAUAAACCAAAACUACUUUGUUCAUCGAGAAAUUAUGCAGUUAAACUCUGAACAUGCCGCUGUCAGCCUUUGCGAAAUUUGAAUUAUUGUCGCAAACGCAACUGGUCAGUCCGAAUGAGACUCGACCAAUGGAAAUGUUCGCCUUCUGCGAGUUACUAUGCGCGCAAAGUUCACCUAAAUGCAGUUAGCCGCUAUGAUUACGGAACUAUUGUUGUAACGCCGCGCAGAGUUAAUAUUCCGUAUUCCAACGUCUGUUUGGACGUUAUCAUGUGCUGCGCGGGUGCACACAGAGCUCGAUAGUGUUUACCUUUGCUCGACGUACUGCACAAAAUUAGUUCUAAUUACGCGGCUUUUAUGCAUUACUUCCUUGGCAGUUACAUCACGUUUUUCGCCGAAGCUACACUAUGUGCGCGCGCGCGAGCGAUCUAAUUUAUCACAGUGACCGGUCGGACAGUCGCGAAAUUGCAUUCUCGUGAACACUUGCCUGACAUAACGUUCCUCUAUCACCGCUGAAACUUGCAUUUAUCAUUUGCAGAUCGCAUUAAUGUUACGCGCAAUUAUCACUGCUAUUAUCGCGCUCGUUGCCUACCGGUUCGCCAGUUUAAUCAACCUUUUAUUAUCGUAAAACGUUUUAUAUCUGCGCGUAAUGCGCGCGAUUAUACGCGCUCUCGCGAAAAUUUAUCGCAUUUUGUCCUCUUUGUUUCGCGAGAAUGAAAGAAAAGCGCAAUGUCCCCCUCUAAUCUAAUGCCCGACGCAAUUAAAAAAGAAGGAUAACGCGAUUUUCUUAGGCGCAGGCCCCUCCGUCUCGCACGAAACAUAUUUUUUGUACUUAUGUUUGAUAGAUUUACAUAUCGUAACCGAAGAUUUAUGGUCCCUCGGCGAUCGUGCUCGUGCAAGUUUAUAUUCAUUAACCGCGAAAUAAGACGCGCAAUAACUUAACGCGCUGCGUUUAGAGCGCCUUUCAUAAAGGACGCAGUCAAAUGGGUCCGACGUGCAAAGUCUCGCCAAUAAUCUGAUUUAUUGUUAUUGCCUGAAUAUGAGACGCGCGCGGAGAACGCCUUUGAUUUCGUUGCUCGGUGCAGCGAGUUCGCCGUGUGGUAUUUCGCAAUGUGCCUUGCGUAUAGCUCAGUCAUUUCAUCCCGCAAAUUGCAUCGCGCGAAACGUCAUUUACACACAGGAUUUCGAUACAGUAGUUACCUUAAACUUCGCUUCACGGACGAAUAGACGUCGCGCGUGUGGAACGCACGAAUACGCGCGUCAAAAUUCCAACGGGGGGCAAUUACUUGUUAAUUCAAAUAGACGAGUUGUGUCAUAUGAAUUUGGAACAGUAAGCAUAUUUAAUUUAUGCGGUUAUUGCGUAUAAUCGCUGAUUAUUAUUAAUUAUUGCGUUUAAUUAUCCAAUGAUGGAAUUAGUCGAAAUUUAUUCUCAUGUCACGCUGCACCUAAUUAAUCAUUAUAACGCUGCUUUGCGUACAGAACGUUUGAUGCAAUUUAAAAAAUAUUUAACAUUGUUGUUUUCUUGAAAUAUUAAUAUUGUUGAUUUACAACGUUUGUAGAGAAGAGUCGCCUGCAUAGGUCUUCCAAAGCGACAUUUCCUUAUUUUUCAGAAAGCUACACUUUAAUUAAUGCCGCUAAAAACACGAUCUACUUAGGCACUUUAUACUUAUGUAUUUCUAAAGUUUUAAUUUUAAUUUUUCUCAAAAACAACAGUGGUAUUGGUGACCUUAUUCUACUUGUCAGGCUAUUAUCUAGCACCGCACCGUAUUGUUGCCUCCGGCAACGCUGUACCAUUUCUUUUACUUCGUUUCUCUCCAGCAGUUAUUAUCAUCUGUUCUCGCGAUGCGUUGUGUCUGUGCGUUUCGCGAGUGGGUUUACCGCCGGCAGCAUAUUUCGCUGCAUUCGGGCCGUCUGAUUUAUGACUGCGGACUGGCCAUGCAGUUUAUGAAACUGUACUCGCGCGCAAACACUCCGGUUAGAUAAUACAUCCCGUCGUCACUUUCGACUUCCCCGCCUGCACCGCGUUCCAUCGGGAAAAUGCGCGCAAUAAAUCCAAGCGUGGGAUCGACGAAUCGACGAUCGAUUCCAGGCGAGCUGAAUUUUCCCUUUGUUCUCGAAGCCGGGAAAAUGAAGCGAAUUCUUAUAAGCUCGAUUAACGCUUGCUCGAUACACUUGAAAAGCGAUUGACAGUAUAUUACAUUCCCGGAGCUUUUGCCGCUAGAUUGCUCCGAUAGUAUUGCGAUAGUAGCGCUGGUGAUUAAAAUAUGAAUAUGAAUGCGGAACGGCGCGGCGGCGGCGAGCUCGCACAGUUGAUUCGCGCGGCCGUGUAACCAAUUGUAAAUAACUCGGAAAUUAUGGAAAGUAUUCUGCAUAAUUUGCACAAUAAUGGCGAUAAUAACUGCUGGAAACGAGGUUGAUUAAUUGCGCGCCGCUCCCUCGAUUUUCGACGAUUCGCUCUUCGCUCGUUUUUCGUUUUGCUCCGCGCGAUACGAUCGCUCGCUGUCACAGCCCCGCUCGCGGAUGCAGCGUCGUUUCACGGGCUCGUAUAUACGGCGUGCAAAACGUCCCCGUAAUCUGAUUUAUCGUUCACGGACGGCGGAACAGUUUAUAAAACUGGGCGCACUCGAAUACUUCCUAUACGCUGUCCAGGCUGACUCAGUUAGUAUGACUAUCCCUCAACUGCCCCUGUCGAAAAAAAAAAUUCCCGUCCACGAACUUUUCGAAAUCUGCCGGCGCUAACGCGAACGCUGAUAGUAAAACAUUUCAUGUUACGAAUCAUCUGAUUGGACAUUUCCCUCCGCAUUAUAUUUCCUUCCACAAUAUAUUUGAAUAUUCCAAGUUGUCGAAAGUAAUAGCUCUAAUUGAAUGGUAUUGAAGGAAAUAACAUUGCAAUCGUUAUCUAUAAUAUUACUUAUAUAUAGGAUUGCAAUUAUUAUUUUAAUUCAAACGAAUAAAGGAGAUAUUUUCAAACAAUUAUUUAUCUGAGCUGAAAGGGUACAUUAAAAAUGCAUAUCAUGAUUUGCACACAUUUCAUGUAAAUUUAUCGAGCAUUGUUCUUCUAUUUACUGCUACACUAUUGAAUAACACGUUCGGUAUGCAUUAUACAUAUGAUAAUGAUUAUUAUUCUUGUUGUAACAUAUUGGAAUUACGUGGGAACGAUCGUCUGCGCGUUGAUACGCGGUAGAAAUUGUUUUAGUCGUUCCAACAACGACAGCUCGUGCCACCGAAAUAUAACUCUCGCGAUUUUUCCUCCCACUUCUCGUGGCUCCUUCUCUCUUUUUUUUUUGUUGUUGUUGUUGCCACCGACAAUCAUUUGCUUUCUCGCGAGUCCGUGGCGCGGAUUUCACGGUGGUGUACGGCGUGCGAAAUGUUCGCGUAAUCUGAUUUAUUGUCAUGGCCGGGGAAGGGAGGAGAGGGCAGUUUAUGGAAAUGGGUCUUCUCCCGCGGAUGUUCGCUUUAUAUUGGGUGAGAGCUCAACGUCCCGGCACCAGCGCGUAUUAUCUCCUUUCGCGACUCGGCAGGCUCCUCUCUCGCUCCUUUUAAUUCCGUCGAUUAUUUUGUUUUUCAACGACACCUUAUUAUCACCGCCCGUUAUUAUUAGACACGCAAUACGCAAUGUCAUUGUGAGAAAUGAAAAUCAAUUAAAAUAAAAUUAUCGACAGUAAUUAAAAAAAAUCGCGUUAGUACCGAACGGAUACGUUUGGAUGGAAUUAAAGCUAAACUAAAAAGAAGCAAGACAAAUUAAGCGCGUAUGUGCUUCGAGAGGUGCAUAAAUCACGCGAGGGAUCGCGCUACGCUCUCGCUGGCUCCACUUUGAAAUUUUUCGCGGCAAAGGAGAGAGAGAUUCGCGCCGACCGCAGCUUCGAUUCCGCGCAUCUUUCGGAAUGCGGCAUUUACCGUUCGCCUCGAAAUGAAUUUCGCAACGGCGGAAGCGGCGCGGCGCGCUCCACCGCGCGAUUCGACGUGCAUGCCAAUUAACGGGAGAGCGACCAUAACGGGCAAAUUUGCAGCUGGCGGACUGCAGACCGGCCCCGGAUAUUUACGAUCGAUCAAAUCACGGGAUCAUAGAAUUCUAGCCUAAAUAGCGCGGCCGAUGUUAUUAGGUGAGCGUACGCCUCGUAAAAUCCAGGACUUUCUAGCCGCGCUGUGUAUUAACGGAAAAGUUCGCGAGCCCGAACGGGCUACGAUUGGUUCCGGCGGAUCGAUCGUAUUGCGUUAUCCCUGCGAUCGAUUAUCACAUAUUGUUUUUCCAAACAAUGCGGCGCCGACGCAAAUCCACGGUGAAUACGAUAUUAGCAGUGAAUUACAACCAACAGCGGAUUAUUCGCGUCGCGAGGAACAUGAUUUUAUCAUUGUCGUUAUUACUUAUCGCGGUCGUAUCGACGUUUCCUUCUUGAAAAUGAAAAAGAAGAGAAGAUCGCGCGAUUAUUGCGGCAUCGCGAUGACACCGACCAUGACGGAUAUCGCGGAUAUAACGUGAAGACGAUGGCGUCGUGGCACUUCUCCUCCACCUACGAUAGGGUAGGUGCCGAUAAGGGACUAUUAGGAGACGCGUUUGGAAUCUCGAGCACCUAAGGGUCUGAUCACUAAGGAGCAUUAGCACUUGCGAUCAAGUUCCCGCCGGGACGUGCACUCCCCCUCCCCUCCUACCCCCUCCUCGACGUGCCGGCGUAUGCACACAGGGCCACGUAUGCGCGCCGCCCCGUCCCUUCGCACCUCACCCCCUUCCCGCUCCCGCAGACCGGAAUAUGAUCCGUAUCGUACGUUCGUUCACUCACACGCGCGAAACUUACGCGCGAUCGUUACUAACGAACUGGCAUUUCUUGCGCGUUUCGGCUGGAGCCUCGUGCCGGAGCUCGCGCCGGAAUUCCGCAUAAACGAACAUUCUCGCGUAUGGUAAGAGAGAGGGAUAUCGCACGAGAGAUAUCCGCCCAGUCUAAAGUCAAUCUGAUGAUCCGCGAGGGAUUCGUCGUCCAAAGAAUCGCAAAAGUGUUUCAGUGUCACGAAAUACUAAAAUAUUAAAUAAGAUAUCUCGUGGCAAAAGCGCGAUCGUUUAAAAGUAGAUUUGCCCCGAUGCAAAUAUUUUUUUAAUGGGGGAUAUUUCGUUCUGAGAUUUCUUUUUUUUUUUUUUUAAAUUCGUGAAUUAAACAGCCGGGGGAUUUGAAGCCCGCGCAACGACAGAUCGCCGGCGGUUUAUAUUCCGAAACAUUCCGAAUUUUUAUUCUAAAUAUAUAUUCCAUUCUCUAUUUUAUUUCAUUUUAUCAGACACCUAUCAUCGUCGGAUCUUUAUAUAUUCGAAUUUGAAAUUGGAAAUAUCGCUUCAGGCUGAGCUUCAUCAAUUGUUUGCCGCGGACCUCGGGGUGCGCCGCGCCGGUGCAUGGUAUGCACGUAUAUAUGGAUAUCGUGUACCAACGCACGGGACAAUAUGUAAUACCGCGCGUCGUACAGUUUAGCAUAUUGAUCGUACAACGGCUGUAUAACGGUCGAAAUUAUCUCCGCGACUCUGUACAAUGUUCCCGAGUGAUCAAAAUAUUUGCAAUCACAGCGUGUAACACGACGUUUUACCAAGUACUCGACAAGUAUCAGCGAUGCUAUGGCGCCCGUUCGAUUUUCGCUAAUGAAACUUUCGAAAACCGAAAUUACCCACGCGCACGCGCGCAGUGCGCUCGUCCCCGCGCCGCGAUGAGAGAGUAUUCGCAGCGGACCCGUAGAAUGUAUUGACGAGUGUUCGUUAUCAAAGAUAUUAUUUUCCGCGCGAUAGUUGGACCGAACGCGAAGUUUCGCCGAAUGGAAACGGUCUGUAACACACCGUACAAUGUACCUGCUCUCCCCUUCCCCCCCCCCCCUCCGCGGGUGAUGAAAAUAUUGGCAGCCGUAGACUGUAAUAUUAACAAGUAGUUGACAGAUCGCAGGACCCCGGUUAUCAAGGAUAUUAUUCUCCGUGCGGAUAUUGAUCGAAGUUUCGGCAGGAGUUACUCCUGAUAUUGUACAAUACCUGUCGCCGCAUGAUGAAAAUAUUGGCAGUCACGGGAUGUAACACCGCAUUUGAACAAUAGAUAUUGAAUAAAUUGCAAUAGCGUGGGGGGGGGCGGUGGAUGAGGGGGAGGGACAUCAAUUUUUAUAAAAACUAAAUGAAAAUUACGAACAAAAGUGCUUAUGAAUCUAUAACUGACUUUGCUGAAUGAUAAAAAAUGUUAGCGAUCGUAAAAUUUAAUUCCCAACUUAAACCAAAUAUACCGGACAAGUUAUAACAAUGUAUUGACAUCGUUUUUCACAAAUUUCGCUAACGGGAGAUAUAUGUCGUUCUGUAUAUCAAUAUCUUUCGCGGAAAUAUUUGUGGUCAUAAAAUGUAAUAUUUAAAAAAAAAUGUAACAAAUCAGAAGAACUAUCGACAAUUUUUAUCGACCGUUUUUGUCCAUUUUUUAUUACGGAAUCCAUUUAUCUGGAGGUCCAUUAAGCCUGAAAUCAGCAGGCUGCCUGCCCGCUACAAAAUCCAAUACUGCUGGACCGUGAAUUUUCGGUGAUACGAGAAGAGCGAUUGGAGGACUGUUUUAAAUCGCGAUUUAUUUGCACCGUAUCUUCCGACAAAAAUGUUAUUCUCUAUACAUAGAGCAAGUAGGCGCCUGAUUUUUCUAAAGUAAUAAUGUCAUAAUUUUUUUCUAAAUUUGUUUUACUUUUGUGCUUGUAAUUCACGAUUAAAAAUAUAGAUGCAUGCAAUUUUGAUAACUACUUUGCCUCUUUUAAGUUAACUUUUGAAAAGAGAUAUUGCUCUUAUAUUAUAAUUAUUAUUAAUUACUUCUUUUUACUAUAAUUUAUUUAUAUAAAAUAAAUGCAAUGUAAAAGUCGCCAAUAUCGAUGUAGAUUUUCUAAAGCGAUAUCCCCUUAUUUCUUGAAAACUAAAUACUGCACUAUUUUCUUUCGCGCAAACUGUAUAGUUUAAAUAAUAGUGAAUAUAUUAAAUUAUUUUACAGAUUUGUAGCGUCUUUUUUAUAUCGUUAAAAACUUAAUUAUUGCAAAAUUUGAAACGGUAUUAUAAAAUACUGUACUAUAAAAAUUAUAUCAUCUAAUAGAAGACAUUUUCUAGUUUGUAAUUGUGUCUCUAAAAUGUUACUUUUAAUUUUUGUUUACGAAAUAUCAUUUAAAAACAAAAUAGUAUGAGAUCGGGGAAAACUUUCCUCUACUUAUAAAACAGAUUAUAUUCUGUAUGAUGUUUCUGUGCCAUUUUCUCGCUGAGCAUUUUUCUCCGUUAACUUUGGUAAUUUACUUUGUAUAUGGAAAUACACAUUGUCAGACCAUUCUCUUUCCACGGUAGUGUAAUUCGUACAUGUAACUACACGUCCCAUUGGGCGCUGUGUGUCGUCGCAAUACAACACGUGUGUUAAGUAAAAGCCCAUCAGGCUGAUGAGGAUCGGUCUGCUCGUGCUUCGCAUUUACACUUAAUUAAGCCUGGGUUUACAUCAAGAAUGCGACGUUUAUGGCUGUGGUCGAUUCUAAUUCCUUCCUUACAUUACUGGCACGUAUCACAUAAAUCAAGUCCCAAAUUGGACAAAUUGCAUUUAGCCUUGAAAAAUGAGGCAUUAUUUAACAAGUUUAAUGCUAACUAGUAACAUUUCUUACCAACUUUUAAUCCAAAAUAAAGAAGUUUUUAAUUUGCACGGGUUUUGUACUUUGAAAAGUACGUGGCGAGUAUCUCUUAUAAUUACAAUAAGCCUCCAAUUUUUUGUUAUUAAUUUUUACUGCAUCAUCUUUGAGUGCGUUAGCUGGGCUUAAUCCAUUCCGUAAUGUACGAAAGUUAUACAUGCAUUUAAUUGACUAUGAUGACACAAAUCUGUCAAAGUCAGUAAUUUUGCACGCGUUUUCUUCCGUUCCUUUCCGCUACAGAUACGUUAAAUAGAAUGGGUUACGUUAAAGAAAUGCACAGCUUUUCUCUGAAAUACAUGUAAAGUCGCGGUUGAUAUCCUAGCCACUGUAUGCGGGCAUUAAGUAGAGGCCAUCAGACUGAUGAAUGCGGGUCUUUCACGGUCGGCAGAAAAAUUCAUGCUGUCACCUCGCCGCCGGCUUUUUGCUUCAGCGUCCGCGAAUUUUUCACGUCGUUGCUUGAACCCGCGAAGCCGUGUCCGCGCGUGUAAGCCGCGUGCACGUGCGUUCGCACGCGAGUGAUGAUGGACAGAUACACAGGCUCUGCUCUCCUCCUCCUCCCCUCCUUCUUUCUCUCUCCUUCUCUCUCUUAUAAAAACCUUCGAAGCGUACACGAGCAUUAAGUAAGAGCUAGACUGGGCUGAUGAGCCCAGCUUCUCGUUAUACCUUGUGAGCACUCCCGUGUCACGUAAAUAUUAAUGUAUAAUAAUGCGGAGGAUGCGAGUAACGCGAGAAACCUAUUCCAUUAUCAGUAAAAUUUGUGUGCGUUAUAAUUUAGGGGAAGAUGGGUUUGCGGAUACGAAAAUUUUUGUGCAUUUGUUAAAUUUUUCGUGAAAGACACGGAAGACGCAAUUAGUCUCCACAACUGCUACUUUCAAGUCGUUAAAGUCGGAAAUGGACAUUAAACAUAAGAUGAAAGAUAGGACGAAAGAUAGGAAAGAUAGGACAAUGAAACAUAAGAUAAAAGAAAAAAAAAGAAGUAUUUUCGUAAGAUAAUAAAAAAUGACAAAAUGAGUUUUAAAUCAGAUAUAGUAGACAAUGUAGUAAUGUUGUAAUUUCCUUUUUAUUUCCUUUUACAUAAAUCAUGUACAUAGUAUUUACACGUACAAAUUAAUGUGAGGAUUUCUAGAAGUCUUUCACUUCGACAUAAAAUGUUUUUUAUAUAUAAAUUGUUAUUUUUAAUUCUCUAAUUAUCUAAGCAAAUUAUGUUUCUGUCAAUAUUAGUAAGUGCAAUGUUUAGUUUCCGAGAAAUAAGGGAGUAUCGCAGAUUAGUUUUUGCAAGACGAGUUUAAAUUAUUUUUAAAAAUACAAUAAUAUUGGAGAAAUAACAGCUUGUUAAAAAUAUAAAGAAACACGAGAAAGAGGUGAUAAAAUCGCGUCAUUCUAAGCGUGACACGAGCGUGACGAGACCGUAGGACCUUCCGUUAUUUACUCCUUGAUGCAGCAGCAUAGAAGCCAGGAAAGUGGUGCAACAGUAGACUCGCCGCGGCGUUUCAUCUUUCACCGCAAAACCACGUCGGCAGGAAGUAAAGCCCGUCUUCGUAGACUUUAGAAACUGGCCGAGUGGUUUUAUUAUGAUACGCCUCGCGUUACUUCUUUUAAUAUUUGCCCCUUUUUUCUAAAAUGGAUUACUAUAAAAUAUCAAGUCAUAAUUGCAUAAUAAUUAUAUAAACAUAGCAAGUUAAAAAAAUAAUAAUUUAUAUAAAAUUAUUAUUAGCACCAAGAUUUUUUUGACUGAAAAAUGACAUUUCCUAUUAUUUUC